CUACGGGAGGCAGCAGUGGGGAAUAUUGCACAAUGGAGGAAACUCUGAUGCAGCAACGCCGCGUGGAGGAUGACACUUUUCGGAGCGUAAACUCCUUUUAUAUAGGAAGAAGAUGACGGUACUAUAUGAAUAAGCGCCGGCUAACUCCGUGCCAGCAGCCGCGGUAAUACGGAGGGCGCAAGCGUUACUCGGAAUCACUGGGCGUAAAGAGCGUGUAGGCGGAUUAAAAAGUCAGAAGUGAAAUCCUAUAGCUUAACUAUAGAACUGCUUCUGAAACUCUUAAUCUAGAAUAUGGGAGAGGUAGAUGGAAUUUCUGGUGUAGGGGUAACAUCCGUAGAGAUCAGAAGGAUUACCGAUUGCGAAGGCGAUCUACUAGAACAUUAUUGACGCUGAGACGCGAAAGCGUGGGGAGCAAACAGGAUUAGAUACCCGGGUAGUC
rnacentral:rRNA from 1 species